rnacentral:sRNA from 1 species
ACCAUUGUAAAUAAGUGUCAAGUAGAGGAUUUAUUUGCUAAAAUG